CACGUAGGGCGCGAGCGUUGUCCGGAAUUAUCGGGCGUAAAGAGCUCGUAGGCGGCCUGUUGCGUCCGCUGUGAAAGCCCGGGGCUUAACCCCGGGUCUGCAGUGGAUACGGGCAGGCUAGAGGUAGGUAGGGGAGAAUGGAAUUCCCGGUGUAGCGGUGAAAUGCGCAGAUAUCGGGAGGAACACCGGUGGCGAAGGCGGUUCUCUGGGCCUUACCUGACGCUGAGGAGCGAAAGCGUGGGGAGCGAACAGG
rnacentral:rRNA from 1 species